rnacentral:rRNA from 1 species
GCGAGGGAUGCUGGAGCGGUUACAAACGAAAAUGUAGGCCUAAGUAACGAUAAUGCGGGCGAGAAACCCGCACGCCGAAAGACCAAGGUUUCCCCAGCUAUGCUAAUCAGCUGGGGGUCAGUCGGGACCUAACGCGAACCCGAAGGGGAUAGUGGAUGGACAACAGAUUAAUAUUUCUGUACCUGCUCACGCUAAAAGUGACGGAGGCGAGAAGUUGGUGCGUACAGACGGAAUUGUACGUUGAAGGGAGCGGUAACGCCCCGAUAGUACACCGAGACCACGGUCAAGGUGAUAAUCCAGCAUAUCGACUUCCAAGAAAAGCAAGUGAAGCAGCCCGUACCGUAAACCGACACAGGUGGUUGGGAUGAGUAUUCUAAGGCGCUCGAGAGAUUCAUGGCUAAGGAACUAGGCAAAAUAGACCCGUAACUUCGGGAGAAGGGUCGCCCCCUUAUGGGGGGCCGCAGUGAAGAGGUCCAGGCGACUGUUUAUCAAAAACACAGGGCUCUGCAAAAUCGAAAGAUGAAGUAUAGGGCCUGACACCUGCCCGGUGCUGGAAGGUUAAGAGGAGAUGUCAUUCCUUCGGGGAGAAGCAUUGAAUUGAAGCCCCAGUAAACGGCGGCCGUAACUAUAACGGUCCUAAGGUAGCGAAAUUCCUUGUCGGGUAAGUUCCGACCUGCACGAAUGGUGCAACGAUCUGGACACUGUCUCGGCCAUGAGCUCGGUGAAAUUGUAGUAUCGGUGAAGAUGCCGGUUACCCGCAGUGGGACGAAAAGACCCCGUGCACCUUUACUAUAGCUUCGUAUUGACCUUGGUCAAGCAAUGUGUAGGAUAGCUGGGAGACUUUGAAGCUGCAUCGCUAGGUGUGGUGGAGUCAUUGUUGAAAUACCAGCCUUUGCUUGUCCGGGGCCUAACUCUCGAUGAGAGAACAGUGCGUGGUGGGUAGUUUGACUGGGGUGGUCGCCUCCAAAAGAGUAACGGAGGCUUCUAAAGGUGCCCUCAAUACGGUUGGCAAUCGUGUGUAGAGUGCAAUGGCACAAGGGCGCUUGACUGAGAGACAUACAGGUCGAUCAGGUUGGAAACAAGAGCAUAGUGAUCCGGUGGUUCCGCAUGGAAGGGCCAUCGCUCAAAGGAUAAAAGGUACGCCGGGGAUAACAGG